rnacentral:rRNA from 1 species
UACGUACCGUCCAAACGUUAUUCGGAAUUACUGGGCUUAAAGGGUACGUAGGCGGCGCUGUCAGUCGGGUGUGAAAGCCCUCGGCUCAACCGAGGAACUGCGCUUGAAACUGUUUGACUCGAGUCAACUAGAGGUGCACGGAACUUCCAGUGGAGCGGUGAAAUGUGUUGAUAUUGGAAGGAACACCGGAGGCGAAAGCGGUGCACUGGGGUUGGUCUGACGCUGAGGCACGAAAGCCAGGGGAGCGAACGGG